rnacentral:rRNA from 1 species
AUUUUCCUACGGGGGGCAGCAGUAGGGAAUUUUCGUCAAUGGGCGCAAGCCUGAACGAGCAAUGCCGCGUGAACGAGGAAGGUCUUCGGAUCGUAAAGUUCUGUUGAAGGGGAAAAAGAGCGGAGAGAGGAAAUGGUCUCCGAUUGAUAUUACCCUUCGAGGAAGUCAGGGCUAACUACGUGCAAGCAGCCGCGGUAAUACGUAGGUGGCGAGCGUUAUCCGGAAUGAUUGGGCGUAAAGGGGGCGUAGGCGGCCGGCUAAGUCUGGAGAGAAAGGUACCGGCUCAACCG